CUACGGGCUGCACCAGUGGGGAAUCUUGGACAAUGGGCGCAAGCCUGAUCCAGCCAUGCCGCGUGAGUGAAGAAGGCCUUAGGGUCGUAAAGCUCUUUCGCCAGAGAUGAUAAUGACAGUAUCUGGUAAAGAAACCCCGGCUAACUCCGUGCCAGCAGCCGCGGUAAUACGGAGGGGGUUAGCGUUGUUCGGAAUUACUGGGCGUAAAGCGCGCGUAGGCGGAUUAGUCAGUCAGAGGUGAAAUCCCAGGGCUCAACCCUGGAACUGCCUUUGAUACUGCUAGUCUUGAGUUCGAGAGAGGUGAGUGGAAUUCCGAGUGUAGAGGUGAAAGUCGUAGAUAUUCGGAGGAACACCAGUGGCGAAGGCGGCUCACUGGCUCGAUACUGACGCUGAGGUGCGAAAGUGUGGGGAGCAAACAGGAUUAGAUACCCUGGUAGUC
rnacentral:rRNA from 1 species